UUAGUAAGUGUUAGGCUCAUGCUUAUGGCGUUGAGAAGGGCAUAGCCCUGGCCACUUCGGUGGAUAUUAUUCUGUAUUGUUUUCUUCUUCAAUCAAUCAAUAUAGUUUCCAUAUUUGCUUUCACCAUCUCUAAAAAUAUCUAGUCUCUAUCAGUUUGUUAAUGUGGUCGACUGUCAUCUGGCUAGUAGACACCAUAUCAAAAUCCUCUUCAAGGAUACUAUCAUAGAAUUUUAUGGCAAGCUUGUGUCUCAUUUGCAUUGCAGUUUGAUCUGGUUUUUCACGUUGCUUAAAAAUUGGUUGAUUGCUAAUCAACCUCUCCAUGAAAAUGCACACCCAAACCCCACAAUCACCUAACGCUCUGCAUUGUUGAGGGACAUUUCCGGGUAAACGAACUUGAACGGGAAUGCCAAUGAACAUCGCUUCUCAUCAUAAUAGUCGUUCAUUCGUAACCACAAGUCAAAUGCAAAAUUUAUAUGACAUAUGAUUUCCGUUCUUUCUUUGUCUAGUGCCUCACAAUUCACCAAACUGUAUACAUGAAAAUUAUGAAUUAUUAAAAGAGUAAAUUGCUAAAAUCAUCCCUGACGUUUAUUCACAUUUGCUAGAUCCAUCCAAAAUGACUAACACCAUUAGAAGCAAUGUUAACCUAGGGGUACUUUGGUAAUUUUCACUAUUACUUUUUGGUCAGCCGUAUUUGUAAUUCUGCACAAAUUGUUAUGGGUUUCAAUCUGGCCCACGCUGCACAACAGCUGGCUGUUUGUUCUGUCUUGUUUACGACUCUUUGA
rnacentral:lncRNA from 1 species